CAUUUCUCAAGGUCUGAACCCUACACCAUGGAUGGAAGUUAAGUCUGGAUUGGCAAACACAAAUCAUGUUCCAAGUUCUGCCUUCCACCUGAGUGAAAUACAUCACCGCUUUCCCUGCUCCCGCCGCCAUUAAAAUUGUGUUUGGCAUCUGACCACCAAGAUACAGAUAUUUCCUAGACUGUUUUGCAGCUAGGUACUUAGAAAUAUCAACACUGUUUGCACUAUAAUUUACUUUUUGAGCCUCUGACAUUUACCCAGCUGACUGUCUUUGGAGAACAAUCUCUUGUCUGAGAAGCACUCUAGG
rnacentral:lncRNA from 1 species